GAUCGAUUAUUGUUCUGUUGGGUUCAAGGGUCGUCAAGCCUCUCGUCAUGCCUAGAGCGAAUGAUGAAUCGUGCGUGUUUGACGUAUAACCACUUCUCAUGCAGCAUGUACACGGCAUUAUAUUCGUACACGUGAACAUGUUCGUAUCGCGGUAAAUAGCGGAACGAAGUCGAUAGCUGCUGGUCGAUUCGAGUUACGUCCUCGUACAGCAGACACCACACAUUUAGAUUCACGAUGCUCGACUUUGUAACCGGCCCACUCGUCUUCCAACGUCCGGCAGCAUAUCGUUUUCGUACGGAGUAGAAACAAUCGCCAUCAGUCGCACAUCCGUUUGCAGUCCGUCAAGAGUUGCUCGGCUGAGUUUCUCCCUCUUCUCUUUCUCUUCCUCUUGCAAUUCGAUGAGGCUACACGCAUCGCUAUGCAUUUGCAGUGUACCAGCAUUGAGGAGAUGGUCUACUGAGGAGCCUCGAUCUAGUGGCUCGAGAGAGAGGCGGAAAGGACGAUCGAAAGGACGCGGGGAGGGCCGAGGAAUGGUGGAAAGCAGCAAAGAGACGCGAAAACCAUGGCGCAGAAAGAGGAAAGUUAAAACGGAGUGAGGGAGGCGGGGAAAGGAACGAGCGAGAAAUUACGACUGCGAAACAACCAACGAAAUUUUGUGUAAAAAACAAAUUGUUUUUUAUUUUUUCUUCUUUCUUUAAAUAAUAUUAAAGUCUCGUGAAAUAUCGCGCGAACGACGGACCGGAGACGCGGAAUAAGAAUCACAAUGGUUUUGUCAAGUUUAUCUCGUCGACGUUGGAACUCGUGAAAAAGUAGAAUCCCGUUGAAAAAUACGAAAUAAACAAAUAUAAAGAAAUACACGUAAAACGGAACGAAAGUAAUGAAAAGACGCUUCAGCUGAACGCACGACCAAUUGACUGCGCGGCGGGAGAAGAGAAAAUAUGGUCAGAGACUGAGCAGGCAGCACAGAGAAACUAAUGAACUCUGACCCGCUGAGGACAAUUAGAAGGAAGACGUUGAAUCUAGUCAAGAAAUAUUACGAAUCAAGCUCGCUUUGUGAAAUUCCUUCUGAAAUUCCACUAGCUUACAUCGAAAUUAUAUUGCUUCCACAAUCUCGUGAAAUGAUAUCCGUUUAAAUGAAAUACUAAUAAGCCGAAGAAACGUAUAAAAAUAUAAUAACUGAAUAAGGGAAAACAGAAAAGCAAUAAUGGAUGGAAAAAUCCAUAAAUAAUUGAACACUGCGCGUAUAUUUUUUGAUAUUUUUCUGUCCGGAUGAUCUUCUUAUCAACGGUGUACUUUUCAAAGAGAACUUUUGAGUACCUCACUGUAUUCCGUAUCCGUUCUACUUUCUGACUUAAUAAUAAAAAUACGAAAAACUGAAAAAUAAAACGAAAAGAAGUUCGUGUA